GUGAACGCUGGCGGUAGGCCUAACACAUGCCAGUCGAACGGCAGCACAGUAAGAGCUUGCUCUUACGGGUGGCGAGUGGCGGACGGGUGAGGAAUACAUCGGAAUCUACUUUUUCGUGGGGGAUGACGUAGGGAAACUUACGCUAAUACCGCAUACGACCUACGGGUGAAAGCAGGGGAUCUUCGGACCUUGCGCGAUUGAAUGAGCCGAUGUCGGAUUAGCUAGUUGGCGGGGUAAAGGCCCACCAAGGCGACGAUCCGUAGCUGGUCUGAGAGGAUGAUCAGCCACACUGGAACUGAGACACGGUCCAGACUCCUACGGGAGGCAGCAGUGGGGAAUAUUGGACAAUGGGCGCAAGCCUGAUCCAGCCAUACCGUGUGGGUGAAGAAGGCCUUCGAGUUGUAAAGCCCUUUUGUUGGGAAAGAAAAGCAGCAGGUUAAUACCCCGCUGUUCUGACGGUACCCAAAGAAUAAGCACCGGCUAACUUCGUG
rnacentral:rRNA from 1 species